GAAACAGAAGCCUAUCAGUUGCUGAAGAAGGCCACCCUUCAGGAUAAUACAAAUCAAACUGAAAACAGGUUUCAAAAGACAGAUGCUUCUGUGUCACACUUGUCAGGUUUGAAUAUUGGCAGCGGUGCAUUCGAGACAAAGACAGCUAACAAAAUUGCUUCGGAAGCUAGUUUUUCAUCUAGUGAAGGAAGUCCUUUGUCAAGGUAAAGUUGUGAAAGCCUUUCUGAAUAGCAGC
rnacentral:lncRNA from 1 species